rnacentral:rRNA from 1 species
AACGAACGCUGGCGGCAUGCCUAACACAUGCAAGUCGAACGAACCCUUCGGGGUGAGUGGCGCACGGGUGCGUAACGCGUGGGAACCUGCCCUUAGGUUCGGAAUAACAGUGAGAAAUCGCUGCUAAUACCGGAUAAUGUCUUCGGACCAAAGAUUUAUCGCCUUUGGAUGGGCCCGCGUUGGAUUAGCUAGUUGGUGGGGUAAAGGCUCACCAAGGCGACGAUCCAUAGCUGGUCUUAGAGGAUGAUCAGCCACACUGGGACUGAGACACGGCCCAGACUCCUACGGGAGGCAGCAGUGGGGAAUAUUGGACAAUGGGCGAAAGCCUGAAGCAGCAACGCCGCGUGUGCGAUGAAGGCCUUCGGUCGUAAGCACUUUCUAAGUAGAUGAGAAAGGACGAGUAUCUUAGGAAUAAGUACUCGGCGUAACUACGUGCCAGCAGCCGCGGU